GGUCGCGUGGCCGAGAGGUUAGGCAGCGGUCUGCAAAACCGUGUACAUCGGUUCGAUUCCGGUCGCGACCU
rnacentral:tRNA from 1 species